ensembl:piRNA 21ur-7876 ncRNA
UUUGUACACUUAAAACGUUGA